GAGUUUGAUCCUGGCUCAGGACGAACGCUGGCGGCGUGCUUAACACAUGCAAGUCGAGCGAAGGAAUACUUAGGAAGCCUUCGGGAAGAAUACGUAUUCCUUAGCGGCGGACGGGUGAGUAACGCGUGAGGAAUCUGCCUCGCACAAGGGGAUAGCCUCGGGAAACCGGGAUUAAUACCCUAUGAUACUUACACUGCGCAUGCAGAGUAAGUUAAAGAAUAUCGGUGUGAGAUGACCUCGCGUCCCAUUAGCUAGUUGGCAGGGUAAAAGCCUACCAAGGCGACGAUGGGUAGCCGGCCUGAGAGGGUGAACGGCCACAUUGGAACUGAGACACGGUCCAGACUCCUACGGGAGGCAGCAGUGGGGAAUAUUGCACAAUGGAGGGAACUCUGAUGCAGCAACGCCGCGUGAGCGAAGAAGGUUUUAGGAUCGUAAAGCUCUGUCCUAGGGGAAGAUAAUGACGGUACCCGAGGAGGAAGCCCCGGCUAGCUACGUGCCAGCAGCCGCGGUAAUAC
rnacentral:rRNA from 1 species